UAUGAUGUUUGGAUGUUCAUAUUGCAUGACCUGAUAUAUGCUGCGAUUUUGGGAACGUGUUAGUCUUAUACUAGAAAGUUACAAAAAGCUAACUAAACUUAAAGGAAAAUUUACCUCUUUAAUAGGUAAUCAGUGGCACAAUAGCAUGGCAGUUGGCAGUUGGCAAUCUGGUACUUAUUGACGGAAAAAAAAAAGUUGAUCAACGUGAACCCAAUAUUGUUUUGGAAUGCAGCAUUUAAGUCCCAGUUACUAAUCCAAAUUUCUUGGGUGCUGCCAUUCUUUCUUACUGCUCCAACAUUCAAAACCUGAGCCAAGAAAGUUUCAUAAUGGUCAAAGGCCUACCAGAAUAUUUGAUGUAUGAGAACCAUCUACAAGAAUACACCCAAAGAAAUGGGUUAUCAUUCCCAAGUUACCAUACUGCCAAUGAAGGAUUCCAACAUGCACCAAAAUUUAAGUCAACAGUUUGGUUAAUGGAGUGACUUACACAUCCCAGAAAACUUUUUUGCACUGAAAAGAAGCUGAGCAGGAUGCUGCAAAAUGCGCUCUCCAGUUCAUAAAAGAAAAUUUGAAAGAUGAAGGACAUUCCAUGAUUGACAAGGAUCCAAAAUAUUGCAAGUCUAUAUUGCAUGAAUAUGCUGUGAGGAUGAAUUUGGGAACACCCAAGUAUAAAACAAUCCAAGGAGAAGGGGUAGGACCUGGCUUCAUCUCUUCAUCGUUUUUCGAUGGUAAAACUUGCACUGGUGAAGUAUGUGCAAGCAAGAAACAGGCAGAACAGCUAGCGGCCGGGGCUGCAAUUCAAACACUUCUUAGAACUGAUUCAGGAGUUCUCCAACAAGUAAUUAAUUCCAAGGCCAAAGUGUGCAAGGCUUUGCAUAAGGUCAGGACCUCAAGCUUCAAGCAAAGCAACCUGUCAACUAUUCAAAAGUCAGUGGAAUCUUCUCCGCAGCUUAUUAAUGUCAGGGUAAGUACCCAUUUCUCCAAUUCUUUUGAAACCAAUAUAGCAUUUCAUGCAACACGGGUAAUUCCCUCUAGAAAAAUCAGCUUUGUGAGGAUAAAAUGUAAUUACUGCUUAUUUUUUGUACCAUAACUUUUUUCACUAACUUCUGUUUACCAUGGAAAGCCAACUCGUGGCGGAUGCAGCCAGCUUCAUGGUCUAAGCAAACUCAAGCCAGGAAAACAAGAAUGUGCUAAGUCAGGAGAAAAGAACAUGCGAAGUUACGGACAAUGAAUCUGUUAGUACACUUUAUUAGGGGUAGCACAUUUACAAGUAUUUCUCUAUGUCAAAGCAUGCCUUAAUUUAGAAGUGAAAUUGAAUUAAUGCAUAGCAAAUUGCAAUUUAGUGUCCUAAUUAAAGUGAAUAUGGCCAGUGAAUGAAAA